AAUAUCUCCAAAAGACUCUUGUUGGACUCUUUCUAAAACCCCGUGAAACGGGUUUUGAAUGUCAGCUAGCUUUAAGAUUAAAUAUUAAAAUUCUUGGUUUUCGGUCAGAAUGGUCUCACGUCACGCUUGUUACCCCGACUAGCUAGCUAGCUAACUAUUGAAUUGUAUUCAAAACAGCGGUUAGGCUACUAUAAACGCAAUCGUUCACAAACAUAUGGAUGAAAAUGCGUCCCGUAGCCAGGAGUUAAAUGCGGAACGCCUAUUCUACUGUCCAAAUAAGGGACGAUUCCGAUUUGCGGGGUGGUUGGCAACCGUAAAUAAAGCUAGCAACAGUAACUAGAAAUGUCAUUCAAUGUUGCCAUCAAUUGUGAAAAUGGACAUUGAAAAGGGGAGGGGAUGUAACAACAAUUCAAAAGAGAAAGAAUACUGUUGGUGUUUAUAUGUUGUUUUUGAAUGCUGGAUUUUGUAACGCAUUGAUUUUAGAACUGUUAGAAGGCCGAGGUGUCCCUUUACUGAGAAAUAAUGCCCACCCUUGGACCAAUCAGAAUCGAGUAUUCAGCCAAGCCAUUGUACAAGAUACAAAUAAGUGCUUUGUUAAAUGCACCUGUGUGAGACACUUUGUUGUCUAUUGUAGUCUCUAAACCAGUAGACCAGUAGACCAGUUUGCUGCUGGCGGUGAAGAAGAGGCAGUACCAAGUGCCAGCCAUGAGCCCAUAACUCCAGAGUGGGCAGUGUCAGAGGCAGUGCCAGGACCCAGUAAUGUGCCCAGAAAGAUCCCUGCUGUGGAAGGCACAGGUAGAACUGUUCCUCAUAGGCCGACUGAAGGAAGUGUAAAAGAGAGAGCAGAGUCUGCUCAGGGACUGAUCACUGAGGCAACAACAGCUCAGCAGCAGCCCCCUGAGCCACAAGCUAAGAAAAAGACACAUGAAGAUGAGGCUGUUGAUUGUUUUGAUUACUUUGCUCACCCUCAGUCACAGGACAUAGAUAUGUUUUUUUGUUAUCAUCCUCAACAAACACCAGAAUUUCCUAUACCAAAAGUUUUCAACAGCAAAGAUGGAACCAACCGCAAGUGGUUGACUUACUGUGAAAAAAACCAAUCUCUGUACUGUACUGUCUGUUUGGCAUUUGCACCUUUGGUUAGUGCUAAUCAGGUCCCUAUAGUCAGGGUGCGUCAUGUUUUUCAUCCUGAGGAGAGGAGGAGAGGUCUAAAAUUAAAAAUUAAAAAAAUCUCCAAAACACUGUUGUUGGAAUAUUACAACGUGUGAAGCUGUACGAUUCCCAGUCUUUGCAGAAUCUUAAGAUGUGUGCACCUCUAGGAGUGAAAACCAGUGAAUUGUACAGAUUGUUGUUAAAUGUGAGUGAGUGUGUCAGACUUUAGUCAUCUUAAAGUCACCUAGUGUAUGGGAGGCAUGAUCUACAAGUUUUUGGACUGCGGGCGAGAAGCUGGAGCACCCAGAGGAAGCCCACAUGGACCCGAGGAGAACAUGCAGGCUCCACACGGACACGGCUGGGAUUUGGACCUGGGACCUUCAUGAUGAAGGGUUACUGUGCUAUCCGCUGCCCCACCACGCCCGAGGUUCCAUCUGGUCUGGAGUCAAUGACGCUGUCCUCCUCCCAAAAUUACGCACUGCAGACACUCAGACACUUUGAUUCAUGAUGACUGGCUGUUGUAGAUUAACUUGAUUUUAUUUUCCUUCAUUCAGAAUGCCCACUAUAUUCAGUGAAGGUAUUGGGACACAGGAGAUUGAUCUGGAAAAGAGGAUCUGAAAGCAGCCCCAGUUCUUAUCAGGGCAGACUACAGCACCCAGGAUCAGGAAGAAUGGAGAGAACCAGGGGAGAGAGGAGAGAGCCAGCUGCUUUAGAUCUGGAGCCAUUUUCAUUAAAUAUUAAAUAUUUUGGGAGAUACCAGAGGAGAGACCCGCCUGCGUUAAAUCCAAGGUUGUUUCCAUCAAAGGUUCGAGGUUUCUUUAUUCGUAUCCUAUUCGAGCACCCAGAGGAAGCCCACGUGGACCCGAGGAGAACAUGCAGGCUCCACACGGAAAGGCUCCGGCUGGGAUUCAGACCUGGGACCUUUGUGACGCCCCACUGCCCCGCCACAUCUGACAUUCCAUUUGGUCUGGAGUCAAUGACGCUGUCCUCCUCCCAAAAUUACACACCGCAAAGGAUGAAGCCUGAACACAUGCUGGAGUACAGGUCUGAAAAUAAAACUGAACACUUUCACUUUUUGGCUAGCUCCAGAUUUCUGAAUCCCUGAAAUUUGUUGUUCGUUCAAAACAAAGAUCUAAGGAAAGUGUGCUUCCAUUGCGAUGUACAACGCAUGCGCUCACAAGGGAAGCUUCGAGAACAGGGGAAGGUUUGAGAAACAUGCAUGGGAGUGUCAACGCAUGCGCUCACCCACAAGCACACACACGAGGCACGGCCAUUUUGUACCCGAACGCGUGCCACACAUUUGCAAUGGUGAACAAAAACAUGCUCGUUUGGGGAUUUCUCCUGGUGAUUCAUUUUCAGAGCAUCGAAGCAACACCUGAGAUCUGUAAAAAGGAAUGGCUGUGUGAUGCUCCUGAAUGUUUUGAAAUAAUGGGGUCUCCAGAACCAGCUUGCACCUCCACCAGUCACACACAUCUCUGCAGAUUUAACGAAAGUUGCAUUGAGUAUAAAUGCAAGGCAGCUUUAACCUGCCAAUGCGAAGGAAGUCCAGUUAAAUUGGCAGACUUAACCAAAUGCCCUGGAAAACAUGUAGAAAGUUUCAGCGGGACCUCGUGGAAGACUGGUGUCGCUGUCGCUGUCGCUGUCGCUAUCGCUGUCGCUGUUGCCAUUUUAAUCAUAUGCCGUAUCAGGAAAAAAAGAGGCAGCCUGUGUUCUGGAUGCAGAAGGAAGGACACUGAGAGGG